UACGUAGGGUGCGAGCGUUAAUCGGAAUUACUGGGCGUAAAGCGUGCGCAGGCGGCGCGUUAAGACAGGUGUGAAAGCCCCGAGCUUAACUUGGGAAUUGCGCUUGUGACUGGCGAGCUGGAGUGUGGCAGAGGGAGGUGGAAUUCCACGUGUAGCAGUGAAAUGCGUAGAGAUGUGGAGGAACACCGAUGGCGAAGGCAGCCUCCUAGGCCAGCACUGACGCUCAUGCACGAAAGCGUGGGGAGCAAACAGG
rnacentral:rRNA from 1 species